rnacentral:rRNA from 1 species
GACGAACGCUGGCGGCGUGCCUAAUACAUGCAAGUCGAACGCUGAAGGAGGAGCUUGCUUCUCUGGAUGAGUUGCGAACGGGUGAGUAACGCGUAGGUAACCUGCCUGGUAGCGGGGGAUAACUAUUGGAAACGAUAGCUAAUACCGCAUAAUAGUAGAUGUUGCAUGACAUUUGCUUAAAAGGUGCAAUUGUAUCACUACUAGAUGGUCCUGCGUUGUAUUAGCUAGUUGGUGGGGUAACGGCUCACCAAGGCGACGAUACAUAGCCGACCUGAGAGGGUGAUCAGCCACACUGGGACGGGGACACGGCCCAGACUCCCACGGGAAGCAGCAGGAGGGGAACUUCGGCAAUGGGCGGAAGUCUGACCGAGCAACGCCGCGGGAGUGAAGAAGGUUUUCGGGUCGUAAAGCUCUGUUGUAAGGGAAGAACGAGUGUGAGAGUGGAAAGUUCACACUGUGACGGUAUCUUACCAGAAAGCGACGGCUAACUACGUG